GUGCCAGCAGCCGCGGUAAUACGUAGGGGGCAAGCGUUGUCCGGAAUCAUUGGGCGUAAAGCGCGUGUAGGCGGCCUUGUAAGUCCGUUCUGAAAGCCCGGGGCUCAACCCCGGGAGGCGGAUGGAUACUGCAAGGCUCGAGUACGGAAGAGGCGAGUGGAAUUCCCGGUGUAGCGGUGAAAUGCGCAGAUAUCGGGAGGAACACCAAUGGCGAAGGCAGCUCGCUGGGACGUUACUGACGCUGAGACGCGAAAGCGUGGGGAGCAAACAGGAUUAGAUACCCUGGUAGUCC
rnacentral:rRNA from 1 species